rnacentral:rRNA from 1 species
GUUGUAUGGUUAAGUGACUAAGCGUACACGGUGGAUGCCUUGGCAGUCAGAGGCGAUGAAGGACGUAUUAACUUGCGAUAAGCGUAGAUUAGGCAGUAAAAGCCACUUGAGUCUACGAUUUCCGAAUGGGGAAACCCACUAGCAUAAGCUAGUAUCGCUGCGUGAAUACAUAGCGCAGCGAGGCGAACUCGGGGAACUGAAACAUCUAAGUACCCGAAGGAAAAGAAAUCAACUGAGAUUCCGAAAGUAGCGGGGGAGCGAAAUUGGACUAGCCCUUAAGCUUU